rnacentral:rRNA from 1 species
CCUACGGGAGGCAGCAGUGGGGGAUAUUGCACAAUGGGGGAAACCCUGAUGCAGCGACGCCGCGUGAGUGAAGAAGUAUUUCGGCACGUAAAGCUCUAUCAGCAGGGAAGAAAAUGACGGUACCUGAGUAAGAAGCCCCGGCUAACUACGUGCCAGCAGCCGCGGUAAUACGUAGGGGGCAAGCGUUAUCCGGAUUUACUGGGUGUAAAGGGGGCGGAGACGGCCUGGCAAGCCAGAAGUGAAAGCCCGGGGCCCAACCCCGGGACUGCUUUUGGAACUGGCUGGCUGGAGUGCAGGAGGGGCAGGCGGAAUUCCUAGUGUAGCGGUGAAAUGCGUAGAUAUUAGGAGGAACACCAGUGGCGAAGGCGGCCUGCUGGACUGUGACUGACGUUGAGGCUCGAAGGCGUGGGGAGCAAACAGGAUUAGAUACCCCUGUAGUC